UAAAACCAGACGUGGUCAUUUGAAGUUACAAAUAACAUAAAUUAAAUCGAAAUUGAAAUCCGAUGAAUAUAUUUUAUUCACAAAAUAGUUAAUGUUCGUAGACAUGACUGUAUAUGGUAUUAUCGUUCAAAUAAUACUAGUUUGCAACUAAUAAUUUUAUGGCGGUAAUAGAUAAUAUCAAUUAAAUAUGACUUAGUAAAAUUGUAAAACCAAAAUGACGAUCAUAAAACAAUUGUUUCGUUUAAAAAUAAUUAAUUUAAGUAAGACGAUUAUUGAGAAUUGGAAAACAAUUGGAUAUUCUGCAAACUUACCAAAGCAAAUGACAGCAAUUAUGGUAUCCUAAGUUCAGUGUUCUUGUAACCCAAUAGCAAAAACAAAUAAAAAUAAAUUUAUUGAUUUAAAAUACUAA